rnacentral:pre_miRNA from 1 species
AGUGGUUCUCAUCAGUUCAACAGUUCUUUGGAGAAAUUGUGAAAUGUUUAGGACCACUGG